GACGAACGCUGGCGGCGUGCCUAACACAUGCAAGUCGAGCGAAGAACUUCGGUUCUUAGCGGCGGACGGGUGAGUAACACGUGGGUAACCUACCUCAAAGAGGGGGAUAGCCUCCCGAAAGGGAGAUUAAUACCGCAUAAAAUUAGGGUUUCGCAUGGAACUUUAAUUAAAGGAGUAAUCCGCUUUGAGAUGGACCCGCGGCGCAUUAGCUAGUUGGUAAGGUAAUGGCUUACCAAGGCGACGAUGCGUAGCCGACCUGAGAGGGUGAUCGGCCACAUUGGAACUGAGACACGGUCCAGACUCCUACGGGAGGCUG
rnacentral:rRNA from 1 species